GAUGAACGCUGGCGGCGUGCCUAAUACAUGCAAGUCGAGCGAACGGACGAGAAGCUUGCUUUUCUGAUGUUAGCGGCGGACGGGUGAGUAACACGUGGAUAACCUACCUAUAAGACUGGGAUAACUUCGGGAAACCGAGCUAAUACCGGAUAAUAUUUUGAACCGCAUGGUUCAAAAGUGAAAGACGGUCUUGCUGUCACUUAUAGAUGGAUCCGCGCUGCAUUAGCUAGUUGGUAAGGUAACGGCUUACCAAGGCAACGAUGCAUAGCCGACCUGAGAGGGUGAUCGGCCACACUGGAACUGAGACACGGUCCAGACUCCUACGGGAGGCAGCAGUAGGGAAUCUUCCGCAAUGGGCGAAAGCCUGACGGAGCAACGCCGCGUGAGUGAUGAAGGUCUUCGGAUCGUAAAACUCUGUUAUUAGGGAAGAACAUAUGUGUAAGUAACUGUGCACAUCUUGACGGUACCUAAUCAGAAAGCCACGGCUAACUACGUG
rnacentral:rRNA from 1 species